UACGGAGGAGGCAAGCGUUAUCCGGAAUUAUUGGGCGUAAAGCGUCCGUAGGUGGCAGUUCAAGUCCAUUGUUAAAGCGUGAGGCUUAACCUCAUAUCGGCAGUGGAAACUGAACAGCUAGAGUGCGACAGGGGCAAGGGGAAUUCCUAGUGUAGCGGUGAAAUGCGUAGAGAUUAGGAAGAACACCGGUGGCGAAAGCGCCUUGCUGGGUCUGCACUGACACUGAUGGACGAAAGCUAGGGGAGCGAAAGGG
rnacentral:rRNA from 1 species